rnacentral:rRNA from 1 species
CCCUUAGACGUUCUGGGCUGCACACGUGCUACACUGGCAGGUUCAGCGAGCUUCAUGCCCUGAUCUGAAAGGAAUGGGAAAUCUUUUCAAAACCUGCCGUGCUUGGGAUAGAUGUUUGCAAUUAUUCAUCUUCAACGAGGAUUGCCUUGUAAGCGCACGUCAUCAGCGUGCAUUGAAUACGACCCUGUAUUCUGUACACACCGCCCGUCGCUCCUACCGAUUGAAGUUUUCGGUGAGUUGACAGGAGGAUUUUUUUGAAACUGGUUCGCCAGUGGAUUUUAGAUCCAAAUGCCAACGAAUCGAUGGCUUUAGAGGAAGGAGAAGUCGUAACA